AUUGCAGAGUGUGGAUGGAAAUAGCAAGUAGAGGGAUUGUAAUUCUGUGAGAGAGAGAGAGAGAGAGAGAGGGUUCAGUUCCCCAAAAAUAAAUUCCUCAGAGCAAAAGAAAGAAUUUUUUGCCAAUUUUAGUAGCAACCACACGAAAGGAUCGUCAGAAACAGAAGAAAAAGCCACAUUGUUUUGGGGCUCUCCACCUGCAACGCGUCCUCAUGACUUCUUCUGUUCACGAUCAUUCCGAUAGUAGUGAAUCUGAUGAUCAGCAAAAGCAUUCAGAGUCUCCGAUGAUUUCUUCCUCACCUGCACCUGGAAUGUCUAAUCCUGGAAUUCCAGGCCCUAUGCAGUAUGUAGCCCCUCCACAGAUUGGAGCAGGACAUGCAGUGGCGCCAGGAGCCUACCCAUAUCCGGACCCUUACUACAGAAGCAUCUUUGCUCCUUAUGACACACAACCAUAUCCUCCACAACCCUAUGGGGGGCAACCAACGGUCCAUCUUCAGUUAAUGGGAAUUCAGCAAGCAGGAGUUCCAUUGCCAACAGACGCAGUUGAGGAACCUGUGUUUGUAAAUGCAAAACAAUAUCAUGGCAUCUUGCGACGUCGGCAGUCUCGUGCUAAAGCAGAAUCUGAAAACAAAGCUCUAAAAUCUCGGAAGCCUUACUUGCAUGAAUCUCGACACCUGCAUGCACUGAGAAGAGCUAGAGGAUGUGGGGGUCGGUUUCUUAAUGCAAAGAAAGAUGAGAAUGAACAGAGUGAAGGAGACAAUUCACAGGCAAUUAUCAACUUGAACUCUGAUAAAAGUGAGCGUUCUUCCUCGGAUAGAACAUCCUAAUACUUUGGAAGAAGUUGCAACUCAUUCAAGGGGUUUAUUCUCCGGCAACCACAAGGAAAUUGAGGGUCCAAUACUUUAGUCCCAGUAGUGCUUCAUUUUGGCUCUACAGUUAAAGCUCGUUUAGCAUGUAUAGGUUCUUGAGUAGUGGUCUUGUAGGGAUGUUGCAAUAGACAAAUCAGGUAGUCUCAUAGCCAUCUCUACAGCGGGUUCUUUUUAACCCAAAGAGAGUGAUGGUUACGUUUGCUGUGAGGGCGGCAUAUCCUUGCACUUAAACCUGUUGUAAGGUUAAGUACUUAUCUGACAGAAAUUAGAGUCCCAGUUGUUUGGUUUGUUAUUGUUUAAAUAGAUUGCAAAAAUUUAGGUCGGGUGCUGUUAUAUGUUAGUAGUUUUGCUGGAUUGUUAUGAACUGAAGAAUAAGUUGAAUGGUUAAUGAAACUGGUGUUGAUUGGACUUCA